UCCAACAGAGAAAGCCCCAGAGGUGUCUGUCCUGAAACCCCACCAUGUUCAGGAGCCCUCCUGGCAGAGAUCAGUGUGAUUCUGGAACUGCCCUUGUACUUGUCCCUUCCCUGGGUUGCAGCUGGUGCUGGAAUAGGUGGUGACUUGCUCUGAGAGGGGUCUCUGCCCAGGCCCUGGUAGCAGCCAUCUGCUCCAAUCUCUCCCACCAGAGGUCUGAGCAUAAAGAGAAGCCCCGGUCUAGGCAGGCACUUGUCUGCUAGAGGACACAAUUACCUCCUCUCGCCUUCCUAAGGUUCUCACUCCCCAGGGCCAGGAGGCUGGAUUCUCAUCAGCCCCUUUCCAAGCAGACAGUCCCUCCAGGCCUGUGAAAGGAUACUGAUCUGCAAGGACUCAAAGAUUCCCGGAGACGACAGCCUAGAAGGAUUGGUCCAGGACAGUUAUCAGGCAGAUGUCACGCAAACAGACUGACAGAUGCCAGGUGGUCCAGAAGAU